ACUGUUGCUCAUUCGAACUCUUUACCAAAACCUAAAACCCUGCUAUCAUCGUCGUUUUUUUAUUUCUGUAACUAUUAUUCUUUACGUAACAUCAAACAAGAAUGAUGGUGGUGUCUAAUUAAAUGAUGAAUUUCACUAAAUUGAAGUUUUUCAAAUGAGUUUUCUUAUGAUCCACAAGCAUUUACUUAGGGGCUUUUAUAGGGAGGAGAUGGUUUUGGAUUUGAAUUAACUGGUUUGUAAGCAUUUGCAGUGGAGAAAAAAAUGACAUGUAUUAUGAGAGACUUCUUAUGGGGAGCUAGUUCUGGAAGGAGAAAAAUUUGUUGGAUAGCAUGGAAAACAAUGGUGAAACCAAAAGCAAUGGGAGGCUUGGGAAUUAGGAGCUUAAGGGCAACAAACAAAGCCUUAAUGGAAAAAUGGAGAUGGAGAUUCACAAAGCCCUAUGGAGGAAGGUGAUUCAAUGCAAAACCAAAUCAGAUGAGACUGACUUAUGUCCACUAGAAUGCAAUCUGCCACAAGGAAGGGGUUAUUGGAAAGAAAUCCAUAAGGAAAGUGAGUUGGUCUUUUCCAAUUCAAAAAUAAAGAUUGGUAAUGGCAAAACUGUUAAGUUCUGGCUAGACAUCUGGAAAGGAAUUACUCCUCUAUGCAAAAAAAAAUAAAUCCUAUAGCUUUCAAGGCUGCAAUUCAUAAAAAAGCUAGAGUGGCAGAUCUAAUUCACAAUGGAAGAUGGAGGAUACAACUGAGGAAAAAUUGAAGCUCAGAAGUGGCAGAGGCUUUCUCCAGCAUGCUAACUCUUUUGGGGGUUUCCAGCUACUCUAAAUGAAGAGUUGGAUUCAAUCAAGUUCCAGUCAGGAGAUGCUUACACAACUAGAGAGGGAUACAAAUGUAUAACGCAGAAAGACAAUCCCCAACAAUCUUCGAGUCUCGGCUAUGUUUGGAAGAAGCACAUCCCUCCUAAAGCUCAAGUAUUUGUGUGGUUUGCUGUACAAAACGCAAUACGAACAGUUGACAAUUUAAACAAGAGAGGAUGUGACAUAGAAGAAACCAACUGCAGUUUCUGUAAUGUUACUGCAGAAGAUGUUGAUCAUAUACUGCUAGGUUGUUCUUUCUUUCUCUAGGGACAUAUGGGACUAUUUCACAACUCGAAUGAGACAUGACUGGUCACUCAAACUGACAGCGAAAGAGAAACUUGAAUCGCGGAACUCUACAAGAGAGAAGAAGAUUAAGACUAAGGUUUGGGCCAUUCUGCCGUUUGCAGUUUUAUGGGCAGAGAAACAGAAGUGUGAUGGAGAAAAAGAGGGGAAGGGAUAAAGAUGAAGUGAUCAUCGAGAUAAAAAGAUUUGUAUACGGGCUCUUUACCUGAUUGGUUCAAACACCAUAGUUUCAGGGACGUGAUAUAUUCAAUGGGAGGCUAUGGAUGGUAACUGCUUUUUCUGCCUAUCCAGUUAGGCUUGUAACUGGGCUUCAAGUUGCCGUUUUUCUUUGAACCCUUAUUUGGGGCAUACAAGAUAAUUUUGGGGCAUAUAAAAUAAGACAAAAACAGGGUUGGAAAUAGUGUUUUUAGGGUAU